ACUCCUACGGGAGGCAGCAGUGGGGAAUUUUGGACAAUGGGCGAAAGCCUGAUCCAGCCAUGCCGCGUGCAGGAUGAAGGCCUUCGGGUUGUAAACUGCUUUUGUACGGAACGAAACGGCCUUUUCUAAUAAAGAGGGCUAAUGACGGUACCGUAAGAAUAAGCACCGGCUAACUACGUGCCAGCAGCCGCGGUAAUACGUAGGGUGCAAGCGUUAAUCGGAAUUACUGGGCGUAAAGCGUGCGCAGGCGGUUAUGUAAGACAGUUGUGAAAUCCCCGGGCUCAACCUGGGAACUGCAUCUGUGACUGCAUAGCUAGAGUACGGUAGAGGGGGAUGGAAUUCCGCGUGUAGCAGUGAAAUGCGUAGAUAUGCGGAGGAACACCGAUGGCGAAGGCAAUCCCCUGGACCUGUACUGACGCUCAUGCACGAAAGCUUGGGGAGCAAACAGGAUUAGAAACCCUAGUAGUCCC
rnacentral:rRNA from 1 species